rfam:Thioflavicoccus mobilis 8321, complete genome.
CGCGUCGGGCGGCAACGCUCGGCGUGAUGGGACAGAAGUCAGCAGAGGGCAUAGUAGCCAAACGUUCACCGUAAUGGGUGGGACAAGGUGAAGGCC